UACAGAGGCCUCGAGCGUUAGGCGGAAUCACUGGGCUUAAAGCGUGUGUAGGCGGACUUCUAAGUACCUUGUGAAAUCCCACGGCUUACCCGUGGAACGGCUGGGUAUACUGGGAGUCUUGAGCCAGCUAGGGGCGAGCGGAACAGACGGUGGAGCGGUGAAAUGCGUAGAUAAUCGUCUGGAACGCCGGAAGGUGAAAACAGCUCGCUGGGGCUGCGCUGACGGCUGAGACACGGAAAGCCAGGGGAGCGAACGGG
rnacentral:rRNA from 1 species